rnacentral:precursor_RNA from 15 species
UACCUGUCCCCCCGAUCCCUGGCGUGAGGGUAUGUGCCCUUGGACUACAUCGUGGAAGCCAACACCAUGCAGUCCAUGGGCAUAUACACUUGCCUCAAGGUUUAUGUCAACGUGGAGC